rnacentral:lncRNA from 1 species
CAGAAUAUAUAGGAAACUUAGAUGUAACAAAGAAGAAACUGAGAAGUUUUAUAAUAACAAUAUUCUCUGUCUCUCUAAAACAGUAACAAAAUAUGCACAGUUUUAGAAGAUUUCUCUCGAAAUUAUAAAGAACAUUAAUUAAAACAUUAUUGAAACUGCUCUAAAGCAAAGAAUUCUAAAUAACGUUUAUACCAAAACCUGAUAAAUGUACAUGAGCUAGAAAAUUUUUAAAAAUCUAUCUUAUUUAUGAAUAUUAAAGCAAAAAUCCUGCAUAAAAUGAGAAAACAGGAUUCAGCAACCCACUAAAAAUUAUCCACAAUGACUAACUGCACUUUAUUUCAAUACUAUACAACUGGUUCAAUAUUAAAAAACUAAUAUAACUCACCAACAUAAUAGGUCAAAUGAGAAGAAUAUCAUAAUCCCUCUACCCCAUAGAUGUUAAAAAGGCAUUUAAUAAAGUUUAGUAAUAAUUUCUGGUAAAGUUUUCUUAAUAAUAUAAGAACAAAUUGGUAACUCCUUAGCAGAAUCAAAAAAAUUUAUUUUAAACCAGAAGCCAAUAAUUUGCUUAAUGAGAAAACAGUAAUACUAGUCCCAUUAAAAUGAAGAAUAAGAUAAAGGCAACAUUAUUAAAUAUUUUUUGACAGUACCAGUAAAUGCAUUUAGUACAAAAAAGAAAUAUAAGGUAUAAAAACUGAAAAUUAGGAGAUAUAAUUACAUUAAUACAGGAUAACUGUAUAAUUGGAACAUAUAUAAUAAUUUAAAUAUUAGAAACAAAGUAUGGCAAUUUUCAAAAGUAAUACACACAAAAAUAACUUUCCUGUAUGUAAACAAGUUAGAAAAUAUAAAAUAGUAAAUAUUCUAUUUGAAAUUGCUAUUCUCACAACAAAAAUAUUUAGUUUUAGCAACAAAAUAAAAUACCUAACAAUAAACUUAGAAACGGUGCAGAAAAAAAAAAAUUAAAACUAUAAUAAAGGAGAUAAAGGAAAACUAGGAUAAAUGGUGAAACAAAUCUUAUUAUUGGACAGGAAGGUGCAAUUUUAAAAGUAUGUUACUCUUCCUUAAGUUAAUCUAUAAAUUAAUGUGAUCACAAUAAAGUUACCAGUUUAUUUAUUUUAGGACAACUAGGAAAGCUUAUUUUAGAUUCCAUAUAGAGACAUAAUAAGGCAAACGUAGCCAGAAAAAUCUUGAACACAGUAAAACAGUAAGGAACUAAGUUUAUCACACAACAGAAUUAUACUUUAAAAGCUAUAGUAAUAGAGUUUCAUGCUGGCAUAUCAAAAGACAGAUUAAUGGAACAGAAUUCAAAAUUGGACCUAAAAGCUUAGUAUAUCAUAAAUGUGGCAUUGUAAGUGGGUAGAAAAAGAUAAUUCAUUUAAUAAAUUUUGUUGGAACAACUCACCAGGCAUUUAAUAAUAGGACUGGAUUGGAAGUUUACUUCUUAUAUCAAAAUGGAUUCCUGAUGGAUCAAAAAUUUAAUCACAAAAAAUACACUUGGACACUACUAAGAAGUAUGAAAAUUUCAAAACCCCAGAAAUCAUUUAAAAAUGAUAGACAAAGUAACUACAUAAAAAUUACAAAUUUAUGCAUGACAAAGACAAAAAGGCAAAUGAAAAACUGAGAAAAAUAGCAUGUAACAUAUAAGACACAGUAAUCAAAUCUCCUGCAUAGGCAGAAAGCACUUAGAGAUCGAGAAGAAAAAAAGUCUAAUCAAUAGCAAAAUGGGCAAAGGAUUUCAUCAGGUAGCUUAUAUAAAGUCAGUAGAUAAAAUGUUCCAAUCUCAUCCAUAAAGAAUACAUGAACAAAAAACACAUAUCAAGUAAACAAUAUCAGAUUGUCAAAAACCAGAAUGAGUGAUUAACAGUAUUGAUGAGAGUAUGGGAAAAUAGGUACUCUCAUUGUGCAGCACUCAGAUGGCCUAGGUUGUCCAAACCCUGUAUAUCCAAAGAAAGAUUUGGACCUUGUCCAACUCCUGGGAGAUAACCUCUAAGACCCUGAAAUAUUCUGCCUGUUCAGAGUUUCUUUGUCUACUUGGGGCCUUGGGCUACAUCAGAUAGUUUAUGCUAAUAAUGUGAGUUGUGGUGGGGGGCUCUGGGCCACAUUAUAUUAAUUUUGGAUGGAGAGGCGGGGGACUGAAUAACUAAAGCCAGCCACGUGGGCAUUCCAUACAGACAUAACUGGUCCCUAAUAGAAACUCUGGACACCGAGGCUGGAUGAGCUUCCCUGAUUAGCAGUACUUCAUGAGUGUUAUCUCACAUCAUGACUGGAGGAAGUAAGUGCUGUCUAUAAAACUCCACCAGGAGAGGACAACUGGAAGCCCCCAUCUAGUCUCUCCUGGACUCUGCCCUAAAUUAAUUCAGCUGAUUUUAGUCUGUAUCAUUUCACUGUAACAAGCCAUAACCAUUAAUGUCAUGGUUUUUCUGAAUUUCUCGAGUCCUUUUAAUGAAUCAUUGAACCUUGGGGUGGUCUUCAGGACUCCUGAUCACAGGUGACAUCAGAAGUGGGAUUCACUAGAAUUACCCUGACUCACUGAAAUGUGGUGAAAGAGUGGUUUGGGAAAAGGAAGGGUAAGAGGGUAGGAGUUGACAAACCUUUGAUUCUGUUUGGCCACUGGGCCACCCAUGGUGUGAAGUAGCAGCUGUGUUGCAAUCAGUUACUAGAAGUAAAAGUCACCACUGGAAUUUAGAAAUGAUAAAUCUAACUCCCAAAGAGUUGGCUCACUGGAUGCAUAAGGAAAUGCAAAAUGACAAGAAACAAGCUAAACAUACAAUCUCUCAGUUAUUAUGUGUAAUAGCUAAAAUUACAGUAAAGUGUUGAGGCAAAUCCUGACACUGGGCCAAGCUUGAAUUUCAGCUGGUCCAAGCUACAGACACUAGCUUCAGGGUUUCCAACAAAGGGACAAAUAACAUGCUGAAAAAACUGAGAGCUAAAAUAACAUGAGUCAUGAAAGAAUAGGGAAAGACAAAAGGAAGAAUCAAGGGACUCAUCCCAGCAGGUUGGACACUGAUGGGAUCAAAGGUCUUAAUGAAACACUAUUGGAGAUUACAUAGACCAAUGGGAGCUCCUGGCAUACCCCGACUUUGAAGAGCUUUAAACAAAUCUGUUCUAUUUACCUUAGUCUGGAGGAAUUAACAAAGCUGAAAGGCAAAAAGGACAAUAAAAAAUGUUACCUCAAAUCAUCUGUGGCAAUUGUCUCACAAACUAAUAUGGAUAGACUGAUGAAAAGGGUCAGGGUCCUUUAGUCUGAUCCUUGUUUGGGGACAUGGGCUAUAUGCACGUGUGGUUAAAAUGGAAAGGGGGUGGAGAACAAGCUUUUCUGGGACUCUUUGACAUGGCAGACCAAUGCACUGAGGUUCCAAAAUCUGUUGGUGAUAUCCUAAUGUGGACUACAGUUAGGUUGGGAGGACUUAGCCAUGAAAUGGUUGAUGAAAUUAAGGUGAAAGUUGAGAUUAAAACGGAAAUAUUUAAAUGGACUUCAUGUGAACUGGAUGUAUCUCCUUUACCUGAAUGUAUUGGGAUGGAUUUUAUAUCUGAUUGGGGAACACUUCCCUACCUAAUAUUGUAAAACUGAAGGCAUGUAAAUUUGCCCUUUAUCCAGUAUACUGGCUAAAUGGGAACCUAUAGAAUUGUCCAAGCCGACAGAUUUUAGUUGGAAAUAGUAUAGAAUACCUGGUGCACAAAAAUAGAGUACACCUUUAAUCAAUGACGUGUUAGAAACUGGGCUGCUGGCACCGACACAUUUUCUCUACAGUAGCCCUGUAUGGGCCAGAGAUUGGGGCUUAUGGAAAAAGCCUGUGAGCACCAUCCAGCAGUGACUGCCGGAAUUUGGACCAGAAAUUGUUCGGAUGCAGCUGUAAGAUAUACAGCAUUUGAGAACCAAUUACUAACUUGCUAUUGGACAUUAGUUGAAAAUGCCCCUGUGACUGAAUGUAUUAGUCAGGGUUCUUCAGAAAAAAUAGAACCAGUAGUGUGUGUGUAUUUAUUAUAUCAGUGAAUAUACACAUAUGCGUAUAUACAUUGUCACAAAUUAUGGAGACUGAGAAGUCUCACAAUCUGCUGUGUGCAAGCUGUAGUACUCGGAAAGCUGGUGGUGUAAUCCAGUCCAAGUCCAAAAGCCUGAGAACUAGAAGCUCUGAUGUCUGGGGCAGAUGAUGAAUAUCCCAGUUCAAGAAGAGAGCUCUCACCCUUCCUCCAUCCUUUUGUUCUAUUCAAGCAGGCCCUCAAUAGAUUGGAUGAUGCCCCACCUCCUUAUAUUGGUGAUGGUGGAUCUUCUUUACUGAAUCUACCAAUUCAAAUGCUAAUCUAUUCCAGAAACACCCUCAGAGGCACAUCCAGAAAUAAUGUUUUACCAGCUAUCUGGGCAUCCCGUGGCCCAGUCAAGCUGACACAUAAAAUUAACCAUUAUACUGAAGGACAUAUAACCGUGAAAGCUGAAAUGCCCACAAUGCCUUAAGUGAUGUGAAAGAAACACUCUAAUAAGGCAGUGCCCAGAAGGGCUCCAUAAUAAAUGGAAACGGUUUAUACAGGACAAUGUUACUGGGACAGUGCAAGGAGAUACUCAUUCUGUUCAUGUGCAGGAGGUCUCUUUUCCACUGGAGCCUACUUUGAAAUCAGCUGAGGAGCCACCAAAUCCUAUGGCCACCUGGGCUGUGCCCUAUGAACAGCUCUCUAUUGAAAGAGAGCUACUAGGUUGACUGAUGGCAGUUCCAAGGUGGAUAAUCAACAUCCUGUUUGGAAGACUACUGUACUACAUCAGAUGAUGGAAAAGUUCUGAUUGAGGAAGGUUACAUCUACUACAAUACUGCAGAUACAGUAUAACAUUGGUAUUGCUGGUAUGAUUCCUCUCCCUUAGAAUCAGGAAGACAGCCUGGCUUGAUGUCAUGACUACAGGGGUCUAAAAACCCAGAUGGGAACUUUUGCCUUGAGGUUUUCUGAAGCUAAGAUGCAUCACAUAGAUCUUGGUGUUUCAGUCUGAAGACAGGCAGUCUAUGUGUGUGAAUAAGGCCCCUGGAAAGCUUGCACCUGGGCCCCAAUGCUUGCCACAGUAUCUUUCUCUUGCUGCACCGUAUCCUGUGCCUUUGAAUAAAAGCCACACAGAAGAA